rnacentral:rRNA from 1 species
GACGAACGCUGGCGGCGUGCUUAACACAUGCAAGUCGAACGGAAAGGCCCUGCUUGCAGGGUACUCGAGUGGCGAACGGGUGAGUAACACGUGGGUGAUCUGCCCUGCACUUCGGGAUAAGCCUGGGAAACUGGGUCUAAUACCGGAUAGGAGCCAUUUUUAGUGUGAUGGUUGGAAAGUUUUUUCGGUGUAGGAUGAGGUCGCGGCCUAUCAGCUUGUUGGUGGGGUAAUGGCCUACCAAGGCGGCGACGGGUAGCCGGCCUGAGAGGGUGGGCGGCCACAUUGGGACUGAGAUACGGCCCAGACUCCUACGGGAGGCAGCAGGGGGGAAGAUUGCACAAUGGGCGCAAGCCUGAUGCAGCGACGCCGCGGGGGGGAUGACGGCCUUCGGGUUGUAAACUCCUUUCGCUAGGGACGAAGCUUUUUGUGACGGUACCUAGAUAAGAAGCACCGGCUAACUACGUG